GUAAGAGAUCUGGAGGUACUGAA
rnacentral:piRNA from 1 species